UACGUAGGCAGCGAGCGUUGUUCGGAAUUACUGGGCGUAAAGAGUGUGUAGGCGGUGCUCUAAGUUCGGUGUGAAAUCUCCUGGCUCAACUGGGAGGGUGCGCCGGAAACUGGAGUGCUUGAGCGUGGGAGAGGAAAGCGGAAUUCCUGGUGUAGCGGUGAAAUGCGUAGAUAUCAGGAGGAACACCAGUGGCGAAGGCGGGUCUCUGGGCCGAUACUGACGCUGAGGAGCGAAAGCGUGGGGAGCGAACAGG
rnacentral:rRNA from 1 species